rnacentral:rRNA from 1 species
UACGAAGGGGGCUAGCGUUGCUCGGAAUCACUGGGCGUAAAGGGCGCGUAGGCGGCCAUUCAAGUCGGGGGGUGAAAGCCUGUGGCUCAACCACAGAAUUGCCUUCGAUACUGUUUGGCUUGAGUUUGGUAGAGGUUGGUGGAACUGCGAGUGUAGAGGUGAAAUUCGUAGAUAUUCGCAAGAACACCAGUGGCGAAGGCGGCCAACUGGACCAACACUGA